CCCCUCUCAGGAUCGCUCCUGGAGAGUUUCCAGUACUCUAUCAGUCUGGGCUACGGGAGGGAGAGUCAAGCAGAGGCCUACCCAUCCCAUUCCUAGCUGGGACAGUGGCUAGCAAGUGGAAGACAAUCUGCUACAAGU
rnacentral:snoRNA from 1 species